UAUGGCUCAGAUUGACGCUGGCGGCAGGCCUAACACAUGCAAGUCGAACGGUAACAGGAAGCAGCUUGCUGCUUUGCUGACGAGUGGCGGACGGGUGAGUAAUGUCUGGGAAACUGCCUGAUGGAGGGGGAUAACUACUGGAAACGGUAGCUAAUACCGCAUAACGUCGCAAGACCAAAGAGGGGGACCUUAGGGCCUCUUGCCAUCGGAUGUGCCCAGAUGGGAUUAGCUAGUAGGUGGGGUAACGGCUCACCUAGGCGACGAUCCCUAGCUGGUCUGAGAGGAUGACCAGCCACACUGGAACUGAGACACGGUCCAGACUCCUGCGGGAGGCAGCAGUGGGGAAUAUUGCACAAUGGGCGCAAGCCUGAUGCAGCCAUGCCGCGUGUAUGAAGAAGGCCUUCGGGUUGUAAAGUACUUUCAGCGGGGAGGAAGGGAGUAAAGUUAAUACCUUUGCUCAUUGACGUUACCCGCAGAAGAAGCACCGGCUAACUCCGUGCCAGCAGCCGCGGUAAUACGGAGGGUGCAAGCGUUAAUCGGAAUUACUGGGCGUAAAGCGCACGCAGGCGGUUUGUUAAGUCAGAUGUGAAAUCCCCGGGCUCAACCUGGGAACUGCAUCUGAUACUGGCAAGCUUGAGUCUCGUAGAGGGGGGUAGAAUUCCAGGUGUAGCGGUGAAAUGCGUAGAGAUCUGGAGGAAUACCGGUGGCGAAGGCGGCCCCCUGGACGAAGACUGACGCUCAGGUGCGAAAGCGUGGGGAGCAAACAGGAUUAGAUACCCUGGUAGUCCACGCUGUAAACGAUGUCGACUUGGAGGUUGUGCCCUUGAGGCGUGGCUUCCGGAGCUAACGCGUUAAGUCGACCGCCUGGGGAGUACGGCCGCAAGGUUAAAACUCAAAUGAAUUGACGGGGGCCCGCACAAGCGGUGGAGCAUGUGGUUUAAUUCGAUGCAACGCGAAGAACCUUACCUGGUCUUGACAUCCACGGAAGUUUUCAGAGAUGAGAAUGUGCCUUCGGGAACCGUGAGACAGGUGCUGCAUGGCUGUCGUCAGCUCGUGUUGUGAAAUGUUGGGUUAAGUCCCGCAACGAGCGCAACCCUUAUCCUUUGUUGCCAGCGGUCCGGCCGGGAACUCAAAGGAGACUGCCAGUGAUAAACUGGAGGAAGGUGGGGAUGACGUCAAGUCAUCAUGGCCCUUACGACCAGGGCUACACACGUGCUACAAUGGCGCAUACAAAGAGAAGCGACCUCGCGAGAGCAAGCGGACCUCAUAAAGUGCGUCGUAGUCCGGAUUGGAGUCUGCAACUCGACUCCAUGAAGUCGGAAUCGCUAGUAAUCGUGGAUCAGAAUGCCACGGUGAAUACGUUCCCGGGCCUUGUACACACCGCCCGUCACACCAUGGGAGUGGGUUGCAAAAGAAGUAGGUAGCUUAACCUUCGGGAGGGCGCUUACCACUUUGUGAUUCAUGACUGGGGUGAAGUCGUAACAAGG
rnacentral:rRNA from 1 species